GACGAACGCUAGCGGCGUGCUUAACACAUGCAAGUCGAACGGAAAGGCCCUGCUUUUGUGGGGUGCUCGAGUGGCGAACGGGUGAGUAACACGUGAGUAACCUGCCCUUGACUUUGGGAUAACUUCAGGAAACUGGGGCUAAUACCGGAUAGGAGCUCCUGCUGCCUGGUGGGGGUUGGAAAGUUUCGGCGGUUGGGGAUGGACUCGCGGCUUAUCAGCUUGUUGGUGGGGUAGUGGCUUACCAAGGCUUUGACGGGCAGCCGGCCUGAGAGGGUGACCGGCCAACUUGCGACUGAGCUACGGCCCAGACUACUACGGGAGGCAGCAGUGGGGAAUAUUGCACAAUGGGGCGAAGCCUGAUGCAGCAACGCCGCGUGCGGGAUGACGGCCUUCGGGUUGUAAAACGCUUUCGCCUGUGACGAAGCGUGAGUGACGGUAAUGGGUAAAGAAGCACCGGCUAACUACGUG
rnacentral:rRNA from 1 species